AGCAGUCAUAGGUCAGAGGACAGUG
rnacentral:piRNA from 1 species